GCGGGCGUAGCUCAACGGAUAGAGCAUCAGUCUUCGGAACUGAGGGUUGGGGGUUCGAGUCCCUCCGUCCGCGCCA
rnacentral:tRNA from 1 species